rnacentral:lncRNA from 13 species
GAGAGUAAAAAUCACACAGAUACAUUCAAGCCCUUAAGAGUUUUGGCAGCGUGGGCAUAUUGUAUAUCCAAGACAUCCACUGACCAUGGUGUGGUUAAGUGCGUGCCUACAAACGAAGGGUUAAACGGAGGGGGUGGUUUGGAGAUAGAGAGUCAAGCAAGAAGGUUUGAAAAUGCUGUUUUCCAACUUGCAAAAACUGAACUUUUCAGCUCCCCAAAAUACACGUGUGUGUCUGUAAGCGCAGGCAGAUCUAUUUCGGUCGGAUUUUUCUUAAAUUUAAAACAUAAUUUCUCUGUUUCUGUCUCUCUGUCUCUUGCUGCGCUGCAAACAGUGAGCAGCCCCCUUAAGGAUCGCGUGGCAAAAGCUGCAGGAGAGGCACUGGCAGGGCUGUUUAUUUAUGAGCCGCGUUCAAAGCCGCCCUCUCCCCAUUCUCCCACUGCAAACGACUAUCUCCGAGCCCGGGUCACCUCUGGGGCCAGGGAGUUGGGGGUUGGGGCUCGGGAGCCUCCAUCUUCGGGCAAAGUUUGCCCAGGCGUGGGAGCUAGGGGGCGAGCCGGGGCGCACGGGAACGCGCGCCGCCCGCCGCCGCCGCCGCCUCCGCCAGGCGCUAGCAGCCCCAGCCUCACCUCUCCCCUCUCCCCGGCGAGGUGCGGGCUCCCAGAGCGCAGCCAGGGGGCGGGGCAGGGCCUCGAGGGGCGGGGCAAGAGGGGCGGGGGCUCGGGCGGCUAUAUAAGGCCCGCGCCGGCUCAACUUCGGACUUGGUGUUAUUUAUUUGGUAAGCGCCUGGACGGCGGAGCUUGGAGGCGGCGGUGGUGGCUGCCGCAGACUGUGGUUAAAAAAAAGAAGGCGGCGGCGGAGGCGGCGGCGAGGGAUGGGAGCGCGGAGGCGUCCGGGCGCAGGCCGAAGCUGCCGCGCUUUCUGGGCACGGCGGGAGUGCUGAGCAGAAAAGGGAGCGCCCGGGGCUCGCAGCCGGCUCUGGAGGCGCGGGCCGGGUUUUUGUUUGGCUGCGCGGAGCGCCAGUCAGCCCCAGCGAACAACUCCAUUUGCAACCACCACCCACCUUCCUUCCAGCCGAGCGAGACUUGGGCUGCUGCGUCCGUCCUAUUGUUUAGACACUUGCCAGGGGCUCCGGAGUCGGCGGAGCCACCGAGUCCCAGCUCUGAGUCGUCGCCUUCCCUCUCCCCCACCUCGCUCCCCGGAGCCGGAGGCCAGGACUGCAGCGGGAGAGGGGAAGGGGCUGGAAGGAGAAGGACUGCCCAGGACUGCGGCCGCCGGGUCAGGUGCAGCGCCAGGAGCCGGGCGGCGUCGCGACGCCGGCGAGGGGACCGCCACUGUGGCCCUGCGGGACGGGAUUCAAAGCCUGGGAAAAGUUGCUGUACUUUGUGA